GACGAACGCUGGCGGCGUGCUUAACACAUGCAAGUCGAACGGAAAGGCCCUGCUUUUGUGGGGUGCUCGAGUGGCGAACGGGUGAGUAACACGUGAGUAACCUGCCCUUGACUUUGGGAUAACUUCAGGAAACUGGGGCUAAUACCGGAUAGGAGCUCCUGCUGCAUGGUGGGGGUUGGAAAGUUUCGGCGGUUGGGGAUGGACUCGCGGCUUAUCAGCUUGUUGGUGGGGUAGUGGCUUACCAAGGCUUUGACGGGUAGCCGGCCUGAGAGGGUGACCGGCCACAGUGGGACUGAGAGACGGCCCAGACUCCUACGGGAGGCAGAAGUGGGGAAUAUUGCACAAUGGGCGGAAGCCUGAUGCAGCAACGCCGCGUGCGGGAUGACGGCCUUCGGGUUGUAAACCGCUUUCGCCUGUGACGAAGCGUGAGUGACGGUAAUGGGUAAAGAAGUACCGGCUAACUACGUG
rnacentral:rRNA from 1 species